rnacentral:rRNA from 1 species
UGGGGAAUAUUGGACAAUGGGCGCAAGCCUGAUCCAGCCAUGCCGCGUGUGUGAUGAAGGCCUUAGGGUUGUAAAGCACUUUCGCCGAUGAAGAUAAUGACGGUAGUCGGAGAAGAAGCCCCGGCUAACUUCGUGCCAGCAGCCGCGGUAAUACGAAGGGGGCAAGCGUUGUUCGGAUUUACUGGGCGUAAAGCGUACGUAGGCGGACGAUUAAGUCAGGGGUGAAAUCCCGGGGCUCAACCUCGGAACUGCCUUUGAUACUGGUUGUCUUGAGUCCGGGAGAGGUGAGUGGAACUCCUAGUGUAGAGGUGAAAUUCGUAGAUAUUAGGAAGAACACCAGUGGCGAAGGCGGCUCACUGGCCCGGAACUGACGCUGAGGUACGAAAGCGUGGGGAGCAAACA